GGAUGCCAGGUGAUGUAAAACAAGAAGAAGAAGAAGAAAUUGUGGAAGUGGAAGUGGAGUCUCUUUGCCUGUCUCCCAGGGAUCCAGCCUUUCAGUAAGUUUCCUGUUUGCUCUCAAACAAGCAGGUUUAUUUGACCUUUUCAAAGCACCUGAGUCAAAGUUUUAUCAGAUAUAACCUGACAACACUGCCUCACAUCAGUCCUGACUGUUGUAUCUGUCCCUAGUUGUUGUGAAGAAAGAGGCAAAUGUAAGCAGGAACAUAAACUGUGUCCCUCAGUGUGUCUCACUGUGUGUCCAGGAUUGAGGUAUAAAUCGAACAGGUAUCCAGCCCGUAUUGACUUGUAACCUCAGGUGUGUCCAGAAACACUUGUCUUGUGCAGCAUUGAAGGGGCUUAUAAUCUAAUUUUUCCACAUAUUUGCCUCCUGACUGCAGUAGCUUGUCUUCAUUAGCAGCGAUGGCCUGGAGUGAGCGUGUCAGGUUGAUGGCUUUUCUCUGCCUCGCCCGCUAGCACGAGCGAGUGAUUAGCUCAUUGUUAGCUGGCUAAGUGGUGGCAUGACAGGACACCCCUGGGUUUGUGUGUGUUUAUUCCUGGUUGAGAGAGCCGCUGUGUGUGUGUGUGUGUGUUUGUGUGUAUAUGAAGAUGAAAGUCUUUUUGAAUGCUGGAAAAUGUUUGCCCAGGCUGACCCGCACCCCAUCGAUUUACUGAAGAAAUUGUGUUUUCGCUCUCCGCCCCAGUGCCUCGGUUAUCAGCUGCCUCAGUAAUGUACAUGUUUGGCCUUCUGAAGACAGCACAAUCCGGAGUUCAUAACACACGCAGGGUUGCACGUACAAACCUGUGCGGAGUACACUCAUGCAUUAGCAAACUUGGAAACACUCAUCUGUUUUUAUUAGUGCUCCAGAUGGGGCUUCUGGUGGCCAUGGACAAAGAGUAUAUUGCUAUAUUUGUUAGGAGUGUUCAGCGCAGGAAUGCCAAACACACUGUCAGACUGAACUGCAACAUAUUGGGCUGAAAAAUGAAGCCAGAGAGACAUAGACAAAACUGCAGUUCCCUGAGCCACCACUAGAGGCUGCCUGCAAAUGUGAAUCGAUCCUCAUGAAGGCUCAUGUUAAAAAAAAUAGCUUUAAAGGCCGGGCCUUGUAUCUGCUGAGGAAACCAGGCCUUUACAGGAAGUAGGCUUGAUUUGGACGUGGCCUUUUACAUCAGAUUCCAGGGCUCGACACUAACUUUUUUCACAAGGAGUUGAAAAAGUCAGGAACACACAAAGAACUUUAAGGGGCACAAUGAAAAUUGAUCAUAUAAAGUGUGUCUCAUUGGUCAAUAUAAGUACUAUUAUUUGAAAUCAAUUUUAGGUCUUUUGGUCACAUGACAUGGAAGCUAUUGAAGAAAAUGUUCAAAAUUUGCCUUUAAAUUUAACACAAACAUUUUCAGAGGACAAAUUAGGGAAAUAAAGAGGUGUGUCUUAUUGGUCGACAUAAGUAUUAUUAUUUGAAAUCAAUUUUAGGUCAAUUGGUCACAUGACAUGGAAGCUAUUGGGAGAAAACAGCUUUUUUUUUGAGAACAUAAACUUCUGAUUUAUUGAUGGUCCCUUAUUCAACACCGAUGUUGACAGCGAGGGUGCCGAGUAGAUUUAUCCGCACUACUAUUGUGGUUAUGGACCGGUUAUGGACAGUGAGAAGACACUGGUAGAUCCGCAGUGAAUGCCCGUUGGAUAGCCAACCUAAAACUAACUUCACUGCGGUAUUUACAUGAAAAAGCAUUUGUUGCCUUGGCUAAUUUUUUUAUUGGACACAUGUGCCCCUAAAUACAUUUCACAAUUCAUACACAUCUAUUUUUUUGUCGCAAAUGCGAGUGAAACGGUCGCACUGUCAAGCCCUGUAUUCUCUUUAAAAUUGUUCAUAUUCUGGUAGAAAGUGGACCCUGAUUCAUAAAAGGAUGGCCUGGCUUUUGUGCCCACUCGACAUAUACAGAUGUGCUAGAGGUCCACUUUUGAAUUUCAUGACUAAGAACUUAAUAUUUCUCAAAAACUAAAACUACUUUUUUCUUCUCCUAUAAAGUAAAAGUCUUGAGUCAUUCCUCAUUAAAUAUUAACUUCUUCUUUUGCUAAAUUAUGUAUAUGAAGGUGCGAAAAACUCAAGUGCAUCGAAUAAAACAUUCAUUUGUUGUUUAUCUUGAAUUAUGCAUAGGGAGGGUUAUUUCAGAGUUUUCCUGUAAUGAACUAAUCACUGUUUCACACUCACCGUCUGAUCCUCAGUGACUCACAAACAAACCAAAUGCAUUUUGUCUUCUCUGAAAAGUUAAAGUGGAUUUGAUGGCGUUUGGAGGUAUACGGUCACAGAUUGAAAACCCCACAGCAGCCAUGUUUCUUCUUCUUCUUCUUCUUCUGGGUUUUUUUUUGUGUUUUUUUUCACCCCUCAAGUUAAAGAAAAGCAAGAAAACAGAGAGAGGUGAAACUUGAAUCAUUAGUGUAGUUAAUGGUUAAAAACUCCAAAGAGUACUUUAUAAUUUCAAACAGACUCACUUUAGACUAAUUACAGAACAAAAGAUUAAUGGUUACUCAACUGACAGCGAACCACUUCAGCCCGCUGCCGUCAUCGUUCUGUUUCCCCAUGGUUAAUAAUAAAUCUAACGUCAGCAGUAGCACAGCAAACAUUUUUAUUACCUGCAGCUGUUUUUGUCUCACAUGUAAUCACUCAUCUUUUCUCCCUGAGUACCUGUUGCUACUGUCCCGCCGCUUGUUUGAUAACCUGCUUUGCUGCAAAAGUCUUGUUUGAUUUCUCUUUCUGCUUUCACUGCCGUCAAAUGACCCAUUUUUCAUCCCAUGCCGGUCGCCUGUAGUCAGAAUCAAAACACUUUGCUGUUUCUCAAAUCUCAAAUGUGUCCAGAAGAAUAUUUUACUCAUGCAGCUUGAAGCAACUUGAAGAGAAUAUAUAUUUUUUUGCAGUUAUCAACUGGACAAAGGAAGAAUAAUGUGGAGUAGAAAGUUUAUGAAACCCAAUGUCAUGGGAGUGUAAUUUGGAAAGCGUUGCAGGCAAAUCCAACCUUUAAUUGGUUUGGGGUAAUUUAAUUCAAAUUAAUUUGCAUCAGAAGGAAAGCCUCUUAUUCAGACGGCGAAAAACACUUUACAAGGCUUUAUGAUGAUUUUAUUGGUUGUCUGUGCAGGCCUGUGGUCUAACAGCUCAAUAAAGUCUUAUCGCGACAUAAAGCAAUGCUUUAUCUUUAAUGAUUUCACAUUAUUUUUUAAUGUGCUUCUUUUCAUUGCCACUCAACAGAAUCGAUCACGUCAGGCCUUAAACAGCAGUCCUCCCCUCCUCUCCUGAAAAAAUCCUUUCAAACCGUAAUUGGGAAAACAUCAGUGAGUGUAGCUCUAAACAGUUAGAUGAGCCAUGAAUCUCUGUCCGUGCAUUCGUUAGUUCAAAUCGCUCCAGUAAUAACUGGCUUUGCUACCCAAUUAUCGAGCGUCUUCCCAAGCAAAGAUUAUUUUGUUAUUUACAGCAUUAAGUCCAAGAAGCAGACUUUUAUUUCAGAAAAAGGCAGAAGAAAAUGUUGGCAGUCAAAAGGAGGAAGACAUGAGGAUGAAAUUCUUGAUCUUUACUAUAAAACUGUUGGUGGGUCUGAUGGUUGGCAGUGAAAUCCUCAUUAACGAACCUGAAAUUACAGCCAAAUGUUGGACUUGCUCUUUAAACGGGGCUGACAGGGUUUGCUCUUGCAAAAUUAACAUUUUAAGUACAAAGAUAUAAUGUGACAAUUAAGACCUUUCUUUUAAUUUUCAACUUGACGUCUUUGUACUUUUUAACAACUUGUCCACAGUCGGUUCGAGAGGGGGAACCAUUAUUUCAGAGCUUUCACCGUCACUGCUGGAUUUUAAUGAGAGUGGGUGUCUAAUGUUGGGUUCCAUUUGAAUUAGAAGCGAUUAUAGCGGGAGUCAGAGUGGAGAUUUAUGCAUCACUUAAUCAAAAAGAGAGAAUUUUUAACAGAAGAUACACAGAAAAACUGUUCUGAGUAACCGUUACAGGUCAGUUUUUUAACUGGCUAAACUAAUACAAGAGUCUUUUAUCCAUCAUGAGCCGGGGAGUAAAUAAGUUAUAUGUAAUAUUGUUGAUUUAUUGAAUAAUUUAUCUAAAGAUUCUGCUGUAUGAUGGUAGGAAGGUUUAAAUUUACUCAGUCAAAACCACAGUGUGGCUGAUGUCUUAAAGCUCCUGUGAGAAUUUUUUUUGUGCCAGUGAAAUACAAUGAAAUUUAUAUGAAUACUUCUUUAAGCUACGAAAGAGAAGACAACACCAAUACUGACAAGAGUGAUGAUUUUUAUUUGCUAGUUUUGAUGCCUGAAACUGGUACGAGAGGGUAAGUGUCCACCAAGCAGCUGAAGAAACAGCCGUUUCUAUAGUUUUCACAUAAAGACAUUCAUGAUAUAUUAUCCAUUUUGACAGUCAAAGAUCAGCAGGAUGAGAUAUUUUUGGCAGAGGAAACUACUGAAGAAUGUAGAGGACAAGAAGAGUGAGACAACUUUGUCCACAGGGGGCGCCAAAAUUGACACAAGCUAAAAGUUACUAACAGGAGCUUGAAUAUUAGCUGGGUUAGCUUAGUUGUUUUUCUUCUACUCAGCAGUAUAAAUCUUUUUUCUGAAACUCAAUUAUCAUAUUAAAUAGAAUACAAUUAUUUUGAGGGUGGGUAAAGUUAUGACAAGUGGAACUAAAAUGACUCACUGAUUGAUUUUCAAUGGAAAAUCACAGAUGUGACCGAGUCAGAGUUGAUAAGUGUUGUAUACAUAUUCCUGAAAGAGACCCUUGCUAGCAAAGACUGUUUUCAUGUAGCUGUGGUUUGCAGUAGGUCAUAGUCUUUGUCCUGAGUUAGUUAAAUCAAGAUCCUGAGUGUUGAUUCCUGAAAGGGUUAAACAGGACUGACAACUUUUUGUUAAAACAUUACUGACACCAAGAAUCUUAAGUACUUACUGUGAAAUCAGGAGAAUAAAGGUUCACAAUGUGCAGUUUCGGUGCAGCUGUGUAGCUCUUUGCUGUACCGUCUUCUUUCUUUGCAAUCCUUGAACUUGAGCUCAACCUGUGCUAACGUUGACAAGGGUGAGGUUCAGAUCCACUGCCUCAGCAAGAUACACACAAACACCCUCUGCUGGUCAUGCGGGUCAUCUGUAGACCCACAAACUCUGCAGUGCAUUGGCUGCACUGGUUUACAGGACAAAGACAACUUUUUACAUGUAAAAUAUGUGUCAUAUUUGAUAAAUACUUUUAUAAUACUUCUAUUAAUCAAUUUGAUCAACAAAUUACUAAAAAAAAAACACCUUAACACAGUCCGAUAAAUGAUAAAAAUGUCCUCUUGUAGUUUAUCAGUUUCCAAAAACAUCUGAUGUAUCAAACCAAAUAAAUAAAUAUUUGUAAAAUUUUAAGGACAUUUUAAAACUCCAAAAAACUUGAAUUUUCUGGCCAUUAUUUGUGGUUUUGGGCAUUAUAGGGUUAAAUGUACUUCAAGUGUGUCUUAUUCACCAAAUUUUGCAGUAUUAGACAAAUAAAAAUCUGGAUUAGAAUGAGCUUAAAGUUGAUCAUCUUCAGCUCAUCUUUUUUUCUUUUUAACCGCAAACUGAGGUUUUCUUACCCUCAGGUCAGCGGCCCCCUCUCUGGUGUUUACCACCCUGUGUGUUUGCAUCAUUAACCCUCUGUAGCUGUGGGACGAACCGCACAAUCCCAAGUGUCCAUGGCUCAGAUCUAAUCAAUAGGAGGGUUGUCGGGAGAGAGCGUCAGGGUCAGCACUUGUGUCAAAUUCCUGGUCAAAGUGGCCACUUUGUUUGGGAAAAAGAUCUGGUUUUGUCACGGCUUGGCAGUCAUUCAUUCCACUUGGAGUGAAAGGAGCUGAAGAUGGAUGAACGCCUCAAAGCAUCCCGCUGCGUCCAAGAUUUUAGUUUUCAUUUCUGCUCAAAUUGACCAUGUAUCUGUUUGUUCCUAUCUCUCAAGCCUUUUGGACUUGGUCAUAUCCAUUUAAUCCAACUCACAAUUUCUCUGGUCAUCAAUCAGGGAGAAAUGCAUUUGCUCCAAGUCCUGGGGAGCAGUUUGGACAUUAGAGAUUUUUAUCUCGCUGUGAUUUGAGACGCUGAAAGUGAAGAGGUACACUUCAUCACUCUUGAUGCUGAGUGAUAGUGAAAGACUUGGAUCGAGUCAUGACGUGCAGGGAUGAUAAAUUUGACAGGCCAUCAAUUAGGAAACCUGAUACAGUCCAUAUAUAACUUGACAAGAGGGUUUAAGGGUUUGAAUGUGUAGUCGGACUACACAAGUGUGAACCAGCACAGAUAAAAUGAGGUGUGAAAAGGAAAAGGUCACAUUAACUAUCAGGUUUCUUUGUGCAUUUUUAGCAAGAUUUGGUGACUCACACAAGCCUUCAUGUAACAUUAUCCAGCACACACAAAAAGUUUAAGGCUGUUUGAAAUGAUUCAGAAAUAUGAGAUGUCGCUGUUGCAUGCUGCAAACAAAAGCCUCAUCUUCAUUAGUCACAAGUUAUUAAGAUUUUGUUAACAUGCACUGAAAGGAAAUCGCCGCCUUGUCCUUGCUGUGUAAAGUGCUGGGUUUGUUCAAUCUCACUCUAGACGAUAAAGAAACACACCUUCAUCUGUGUCAGUGUUUUAUUUUGCAGGUUGAGAGCUCAGACCUAGAUUGCAGCUCCAGUUUUCUCUCGCUGUCUUGUGUUGACAGUCCGGCUAAAUGUCACAUCUGUCAGCGGCUACCACUUUACCCCAAGCGACAAAAGAGGGGUCAGAUUGCUGCCGCGGUUCACUGUUUGCAAGGAACCAGGAGAGACUUUACACAAUACGACAUUUGUGUUUUGGCUUAACACACAUUUAACCCUGUAUGACUUUGUCAAGUGUAAAGCUCCUGCUAAUGUGUGUCUUUGGUGUCUUGUAUUUCAGCCCUCACUUUUUUUUUUAACUCUGCAUACCUCUCGUACUCACACUUUCAAAUAUGGUCAAGAUGCCAAUAAAAGCUGUCUAAAACUGGAGAAGUUAGAGGGCUCUAAUGGACAGGAAAUUUGAGUUAUUAAACUUCACUUUAAGGUACGCUCAGAAAUUUGGAGCAUGUUUACCGUUGUGUUGCAUCACCUCUUAUUUUUAACAACUUGCUGUAAAUGUUUGGGAACCAAGGAGACCAGUUUCUGAUGUUUUCAGAGUGAACUUGAUGUGUAUAGUCUAGUAUUACUGAGGCACUUCUGCAUCCUCACAUCAGGAUUGAUGCUGGCUUUUGAGCUGAGCAAUGGGAACAGGAAACCAGGUGGUCCCUGGGACAGAGCGUCCAUGAUUUCCAAAAAGAAUAUCAAAGUUUUUACCUCUUUGACUCAGUCCAGCUCACAUGUACUCAGGCCCAGAGAAGGUGUCAGCGUUUCUUGAUCAUGUCGUUGUGUUUUACCCUUUGUAUGGUUCUGUUUUAACCUGCACUGGUAGAUGCAGUGGGAUUUCCACUACAGAGUCAUGUUUGUUUUUAAUGUCUGAAGGUCAGAAGACCCUCCUUUUUUUUCAUGUCUAAGAUUUUUUUUCACACCAUGAGUGCUCAGACUAGGUUCACUUCCAGCGCAAAGCUCCCUUUCUCCCCUCUGUCUCCAUUUCCUGUCCCAUCUACUAUCCUGUCCUCUCCAAAUGAAAGCAAGACCUCUAUAGGUCUGGGUUUCACAAGAUUCUCACUGAUUUUUGUUCACAGGUAUUUAGAUCUGUAGGUGAUAACGUCCUCAAUCUUUUUGCAGUUUUUCAGUGAGCAACAUUGCUCUAAAACUACUUCCUCACACAGUCUCUUAGUGGUAAAUUUCUCGUAUUCUCCAAAGUCAGGAAUCCAGAUGUUACACAAGUAAAAGCUCCUGUGAGGAACUUUCAGUUUGCAAUAGUUUUGACACAAAGAAGCCUCUGCUCAUCUUGUCCUCUAAAUGCCUAAACACUGUUGAAAACUUUUGAUGGUCAAAUGCGUCAUUUACUGUGAAUGUUUAAUGUGGAAAAUGUAAAAAUUUGUCUGUUUCUUCACCUGCUUGUCUGACACCUAUUAAAACGCAUUAGAAAAGAAUAUAAAAGAAAUGUUAAUCUUGUCCCAUAUGGGGUUGUUUGCUUUUAAAUAGCAUGAAAAAGCAUAAACAUGAAUUUUAAUCUAUUUCAAAAACAUAAAAAAAACUCCAUAUAAGAGCUUUAAACUGUUGAAAGAAUGAAAAUAAGCAUUCCAUACAGACUUGAUACCGAUUUCUGAUCGAUUACUUAGUUUUUAGGCACAUUGACUAAGAAGUAAUGACUGAAACUAGGCGAAAACUUUUAAGAGCAAAAAUGAUCAAACUGUGAAUUCAGCUAAAAGGCAUUUUUAUCUUUACACUAAGACCAAAGCUGACGGUAUGACCUCUGUCUGCUUAGAUGAAUAAAACUUGCAUGAAGAAAAAAAUAAAGAAGUUUCAUUGUAGGUUUUUUUUUUUACUUGAUCAUAGUUUUUUGAUAUUUCGCUAUUUUUUUCUAUAUAUGAUCAUGUCCACAGAUGAGUACAGCAUGUAAAUCCUCUGGUUUGGCUGAUUCUUCUUUCUUCUGAAUUUACAAAAGUUGCUAAAAGUUACUUCAAAUGUAUCUGGAGAUGAAGAAUAGGCCAACAUGUAAAUGAGGGGAGGUUUUAAUUAUGUAUAGUCAGAGACGAAAUGGUAAUGCUUUUCACACGCUUGCCUCACUGUCGUCUCUUUACUAUUACAGGACAGGAGAAAUAUUGUUACGACGAAGAAUCAGAUGUUUGAAUGACAACUGCUGCUUACCAAGAGGACGGCCCAUCAGUCAUCCACUGAAAGACUUUCAAGUCCGGUGUCAUCAUCUCCAGUUUUCAACCAUUACAUCAGUUCGGAAAGCCGGCCCAGAGUCUGAUGUAAGUCUUUUCAUUUCCUCGUAUUUCUCUCCAUCUCCGUCUCUCAACAUCAGCCUCAUUCUCUGUCAUCAUACUUUCAUUUUCCACCAUUCAGACGUCACCUGUCCCAAAAUGGUUUUAUCCACGAUAGCUUGAGGCUGAUUGAAAGAAGUAAACAGUUUCUUCUCUGGACUUCAGUCUCACUAUUCAUUGAUAGGAGUGUCUGGCUGUAAGGUGAAAGAUGGGAACAUCAUUCCCUUUUUGAUUUGGCCGUGCCUGGAGGAGAGCAGAUAGAGAUUAAUGAGCUUAUUAAAUCCGAACGGACUCUCAGACAGACAGCUCAUUAAAAGCGCGACGUUUGGAGGCCUUCACAAUGCAGGUCAGUUCUGAAACUGCCUCUCCAAAUGGAGGCUGUCAAUCAUAGAGAAAGGGAGGACGUUCAAAGAGAAGAUUUCACUCGCUUUUCAGCUGUCAGAACCAGAGAGAGACUUUAAUGGUCAAAUUUGUCAAAUAUUUGUAUUGUCAGGGUAAUACUAGAUCAAUAAUGGUGAAAUAUGUCUCGGUAACUCCUCACUUGCUCGGGGAGGGAUGCUGUAGUUCUAUUUGAAGCAUUUGAUAAAAACAAAUGGGAGUGUUAAGGUACUUGGCAGCCUUUGAGCAGGUCUAAAAGCCUCUGCUGGGUGUUUUCUGAAAGGGGUUCAAGAAGUCAGACAUAAAAGACCUGAACCUUGAUGCGCCGGGUAAACUUCAGCUGGACCUGAUUGGUUUAAAUCUGACAGUUUUUACUGCAAAAAGGUAUUGCUAGAUAAACACCGUCAUAAAAAAUAGCGUUAGAAAAGGUAAAGUAAGGUUCUGCAGGAGUCUGAGCUGAGGCAAGAGUCACAACUUUGACUGUUUCUGCAAUCCUGCUGUCAUGUAUGGUUUCAGUUUCUCUGUAGUGAUCAGCAACCUAGAGGUGAUCUCAGUCUUUUAUUAAUUAAUCCAUCUGUUCACGUGACUCAGACCGCGAUCACAUAAGGUCUUUAAUGGCUGAUAUGCACAAAUAUUAAACAAUGGAAGGACUUUCUGACUUUCUUCAUAAAUCCAUCGAUUUGGAGUAGAUACUUUAGUAGGAACUCUUUCCUAUAACCUAUAAUACUUACAUUGUGCCUGAAUAUGGUGAAAAAGUAUGAAUAUUGGAUUGAUUAUUAACCCUGAAGAGGCACAAGCUCUAAAUUUGUUCAUGGAUUUGCAUUAAAUCCUUGAAUGAGAGUUUUUUUGGUGUCUAAUCAUAUGCUGCUACAGCUAGCUAGCUAGCAUCUGCAGCUACUUCUUUGUGUCUCCUUUGUUGUGUGACUUGUUGUUUAGUAUAAGGAUCACAACUAUGAACUCACAGUGUUACUGUAUUCUUAUUUUUAGAACAAUAUCGACAUUUUAUAAUUGUAAAACGACAGCUAUCGACAAUAAUGUGACAGCCUUACACCAAAGCUAAUGCUACGUCCUAGUUACCUCGGAGACAGAGCUGGGAAUGACGUUACACCCAAGUUGAUGAUGUUCUGGUAAACAAGUCAGAUAACCAAGAUAGACGCCCUACUGUUGUAACAAUUUGCUGCUGAAAGUUGUUAGCUGUUGUUAGCUGUUGUUAGCUGUUGUUAGGUGUUAUUACUUGUUGUUAGCUUUUCCAGUUGAAAACAACGCAAAACCCGGUGGUUUACUUUUAUAAACAAUACCAUGUCCACAGUUAGACGUUGGGCAGUACUACAUGUACCACUUGUUUAAUUUCACAAAUACAAAACUUAAGUGUUUACUGUUGAUGCAUGGUGCUGCCAUCUUGGAUUAUGACGUUGUGGUCAAGUUGGGGUUGGUGACCCCCAGCUUGACCACAACAUGACUUUCAGAGUUGGAAAUCCGACUUAAGGUGGGCGUUCCAGAUGAAUUUCCAACUGGGAACUCAGAAAUUCCAACUUCCUAGUAAAACUGGAAUGCAGCAUAAAUUACUGAUACCAUAACCUCAUCAUCAUGGGGUUUUGACCAAUCAGAAUCCAGUGCUCAACACAAUCAGAUGAGAGGUAGGAAAGCCGGAUGAUAAACACAGAGAAAGCACGUAACAGCAUCUUUUCACCUCCUCUUCCAUAUAAACUUUCUCUUGACUAGUUUUUCCUAAAAUCAGAUUCAAUCAAACAAAUUGGAGACAUGAUGUUCUUUUCCUCUCAAACAUGUUUUCUCAAGUAUUUCCAAAAGUUAGAAACAGAUUUAGGACCUGAGGUUAUGGAAUUAGAUCUAAUCUGGACCCAAAUGACCAUAAAAUCUGAACCCUUAACCCUGUAAUUCAUGUGCGUUUAGAGUCGAUCGAGCUGAAGAAUUGCAGUUCACAGUAAACUAAAUGUUAGGAUGAGUUUCUUUAGCCAGUCAUGUCAGCCUUUAGAGUGGUGGAGCUGUGUCACUCAAAUACCCCAGACACUUUGGUGUUAGAUUGCUGGAGCCGGGGGCCUCCUACAACCAUCCCUGAGCAAGGAACCCUGUACACAUAUUUUACAUCAUACAGGUCCCCAAAAUACGUUCUGUCAUGAUAUUUCCUUCUUGGGACCUUCCACAUGUUCAUCUAAGGCUUUUGAAACAUGUUGUCCUUUGUUUUUACCAUACAUGGAUUUCUCUUAGGGUCAACUAAAUACCAACAGUAUGUUUAGGAUUGUGAACCGCUAUAUAUACUUGAAUGGUCUUGGACCGCUUUUUGCUACACUUGUGUUGGUCACAUUUGUGUCACACUUGGGUCACACUUGUGUUGCACUUGUGUUACACUUGUAACCCAGAUAUGUAAUCAGUAAAGCUUGUCAAAAUGACCAUUCGUGUGGACCUUCCAUUCUUUCUAGUGUGAACCUGGGCUAGGCAUCCUUACACUAAAGUUCAUCCUCAAGCCUUCAGAGUUUUCGUCGAUUCAUCCUCGUGUUUUCUUCUUCUUCUUCUGUUCCUGAAGUGUUGUUUUGCCUUUGCGCCUCAGAGCCAUGAGAGUUUUUACAUCGAUUGAUCAAGAGCCUCGCUAGUCCUGGAGCUCAACAUGUAGAUUCACAUUUGCUUCACUUCUAACGCCUUCACACGCCCUUCCACAUUGAUGCGGAGGGCCUUUCUGCGUGACUCCUGGCUUUCAAAAACGCUGGCAGCAACAGUAAAGAGCGCUCCGACUGUCUCAUCUCCAUCCAGAUCCUCUUUCCUUCAACACAAACUUUGAGAGAUAAAUACUUUCGCUGACAUUUGCCGCAGAGUUGACUUAUGUGAGUGUGUGGAAAACGGCGGGGAGGAUGUUUGUGUGUGACGGUGUUUAAGUGUGAAGUGGAAGGAGAGGUGGAGGGCCGUUCUGUUGGUUAAGCGCUCCCCUGUGCUCUCCCACGGCUGCUGAACUGCUGACUGGCACUUUUCAAUACAGAGAUGGAGAAGGUGCACAAUAUAUAGCUUCACACAAAUACACACUUAGGGUGUACACACACCUGGAGAGCUUACAUGGCUUUACAUGGAGUGCUGGUUGUCAGCCAGCAGCUUCUGCCAACAACCCAUCAUCACGCUUUUCACCUGGCAGUGUCUCGACAGUCCAUCCUUUUACAGCUCUCCUGUUAAAAUGUGCCAGCGUGUGUGUGUCUCUAUGUGUGUGUGUGUGUACAGGUGGUAAUGUGUACUUCUCUCAAACGGUGGUGUGUCAGAAAAUAAAGUGCUGGCAGAGGGUUUGGGUGCAGUGAAGGUAGUCUGUGUGCAGGAGGCCUGAUUCCAGCCACAUUAUGUCUGCUAAUGAGCUUCAUCUUUAGCUGAUUACAUUUGUUCCCACAGCAGAUCGUCCUGCCAGGGAUGCAUUAGUGUCAUAUAAACCUGUAUCAUGAUGACAAGAAGAGAAAAGAGAUAAAAGUUAGGCGUGACACUAAAGCCUGGCUAAACUCGUACACUCCUGAGAGGCGGAGAACAGACGACUGUUUUUGGACCCAAGAGUGAGAUUAUUUUACACCGUUUGAAGCAGGACACACUCGACAAGAUUUUGUGCAAUAUGAGUUAUUUGUUAUAAUGCUCAUGCCAUACUUUAAGUCCAUGAAAAAGUAGUUAGUUUUCAUUGUUGUGUUGAUAUUUGUUUCCAUAUAUAAAGAAGUACAACCAGCAGUCCUCCCUGUCUCUCGCUGUGGAGAAAAUUAACUUUAUCCUUCAUCCUGAUAAUCUCACGGUGAAGUUUUCCUCAAACUUAAUGCUCUGUUUGAACAUUAAACUUCCUCCUGCCAUUACAGGAGUCACCUUUUUACUGUCUUAUUGAACAGAAGUUGAAAUUAGGCCAAGUUUCCUCUUAUCCAGACUUUCUGACUGGGGUGGCCAAGGUAUCUAUGCAUACAUGGAUUAUUAGCAUUUACCCACCCUGUUUUAACUGUCAGAUUUGAAUUACGUAUAAUAAGUAAAUGUGCAUUGGUCAAGCUGCACUCCUGAGUAGGGAUGGGGAUCGAUAAAUGGGUGCAUUAAACAUCUGAUAAAUACAAAAGAGGGUUAGGGCCACAAAUAGGGAAAAAAAUAAUUACAGGAAGGAGAUUAAAGUCAAAAUGUCGAGAUUAAAAAAAUCGAAACUAUGUCAAAAUCAACAUUUUGAGAUUAAAGUUAAAAUUUCAAGAUUAAAGUCGACAUAAAUAAAGUCGAAAUUUUGACUUUAAUCUCAAAAUUUCAACUUUAAUAUCAAAAUGGAGUUUAAAAAAAUCUCCCUUGUGUAAUUAUUUUUUCUCUUCUUGUGGUCUUAAUCCUCUUUUGUAGGUAAAGCAUUUUUCAAAACCUAUAACUCAAAGAGCUUUUUGAGUCUACUGUCUUUUCUCAAGGGUCCUGUUAAGUAAAGUUACACUUUGAGUUAAUUCAUGUUGUGUUAAUUAAAUUAACAGUACAUGCACAAUAAUAGCCUGUUUACUAAAGUGUUUGAACAGGUAACAAGGAGAAGAAUUUUAAUGGUCGGUUGCAGUUUAUCGUUUCUUUUCUGGGAUCAGAUUAAAGUCCUGCCAGUCCAUCUCUGCGUCUGUCACUCCUCACCAGCCAAACACAGAGAUCUGGUGACAACUGACACCGACAACCUCCACUUCACACUUAACUCACAAAAACACACACAAACACACACUAAGCUGGAGAGGCCCUCUUAGUCCAGGCAUGUGUUCAGCCACGACUGGCCUCUCAGCACAGCACAGACCGGGCGGAGGAUUAGCUGUGGAGAGAGAGAGGAGGGAGGGGCAUCUGAGGCUCAGUCGCUGGUACAUAAAAAGUCUGAGGCUGGCUUCUGUUUGGUGAAAGUGUAAUGAAUCACUGCAGGAAGGAUGAUGGAGUUCACAAAAGACCAUUCAGGUGGAGUAUGAGACUCUCUGAGGACCAUGUUGGAGGUUGACUCUCAGAUUGAGUUGUAUUUUCUGCUCACGGUCAUAAUUUUAGGUGAAAAUUUAAGGGACAAGUUAAUCUAUUAGUGGUUAUCUGCAAGAUUAACCAGACGUAAGAUGCGUUUACAUGGGCACAAAUAAUCUGAAUAAAUGCCCAAUUGGAAUAAAAAUGCAUCAUGUAAACAUGUCGAUGGGAAAAUUCUGAUCCAAUUCGGCUCAAUAUUCCGAAACGCGUCCAUGUAAACACUUAUUCCGAUUGUGACUCUCUUACCUGAUUCGGUACAGGAGGUUUCAUCAUUAACACUCUGGCAUGAAACACAACCGCAGGAGCCGUGUCUGCUCCUCCAAUAACAUAUCAAGGCGUACAUACAGCGUAAUGAUGUCGCAUCUGCAUGCACAGAGCAGCCUUUGACAGAACAGUGAAAUAAGUAAGCAAGGACGCCAUAUAGUGACAACAUUUAACAGGGGGGAAACUCCUGAAUCGGAUGGAGUGAGCCACUACCGCGUUUGUUGGUUUGUUGACAGCACAGACGUAAAUACAACUCUUCUUCUUCUGUGGUUGUUUUAGCGAAAUCAGAUGACUUUGCACAUGUCCAAAUAGGUCUAAACUGAAUGAAGCUUAGUGCAUGUAUAAGCACGUCAUGAUUGGAUGAUUUCGCACCCAUAUAAACAUAGAAUUCAGAUUAUCCGAUGCCUCAAAUAUUUAAUUGGAUCAAGAAAUUUUCCCCAUGUAAACGUGGCUACAGUCUACAUUCAGUUGUAGGUAUCUAUCCCACAGGUUAGACAUAACAUAUGAGCAGAAUUUUGACUAAAUACUCCAAUACUCUAGUUUUUAAAGUCAAAGUCGUUUUUACACCUAACGUUCUCUCUUUUUUAUUCUAAAAAAGUCAGCCCCUGAUUUCUGUCCAAUCACAGGAUCUCUACACUUCCCAGUCAGUGGAUGUUUUCCUGGCAGCCAGAAUGCCUCCUCGAAAACAUGUUUAGCAAACCAAAUGAGUAACGUUUGGUGAGAGAGGGUGCUGUGCCGUUUAUAUCUAGGAACUAGUGCUGUAGGCAUCGCGCUGAGAUGAUUCAUCUCUUCGGGUUUUUAAGUGGGAGCCAAGGUGCAUCAGAGGCUCCUUUUCUCCGAACUACUGAAAAUGAAUCUAGGUACUUCCACUGUGGGCUGCUUGUGUAUCUAUCUUUAGAAUCAAGCACAUUACAUUUUUUUCUGAUUCAUCGCAGGGAAACUAAAUUAGCAUUUUUCACAUUUCCUGACACCAGCCAAAGCAUAAAACACAGGGUGAUACCCACACAGUCUUAGAGACACACAUACUGAGAGAGUCUGCUCUCCUCCUGCAGCUUGUUUGUGAAAUUCAGCGCUCUCGUGCUGCUGCGCGGCGUAAAAUCAUCACUCACAAGCUGAUAGUUUGACUAGAUCUGAAGUCUUGAUAGCUCAGUUUGGUUCUCGGAUGAGCUUUGAAGUUUGAAAAUUAAUUUAUUUUUCCUCUGUAAUUCAAACAUUUUAUUUAAAAUUCUUAUCUGCAGAGUAACAGCUUGGAGCGAGUUCUGCGACAGCUUGCAGGGUUUGUGUCCUCGGAGGACACAUCUGUGUGCGGACCUCUCUUGAGAGCUGAGACACAUUCAUCGCAUCCUCUUUUUGUGCAUCUGCGUGUGUGCAAGUUUGUGCCUGCAGAGAUGGUGAAUGUGAGAUUUUGUAGCUAAGCGUCCAUAUGCAUAUGAAUAACCAGACAUUCAUAUCCAAAACAACGCUUUUGUGCUUUUUUCCUCCCCCAAAAAAAACACUUGGACAUGAAUAAAAUGCCGUUACUCGGUUCACCUUGACUACAAAUACACAAAUAAAAAAGGCUCAUGGGGGCCACUUUAUCGUGUCAUAGCAAACAGGACACUUUCAUUUGCUGAAAUACGCGGUGUGAUAAAAAGCUGUGAUGGAGUUUCACUCUUCUAAAAUAAAACCCGUGUUUGCAUUGGAAUGAAAAACCGAACUUGAAAAAGCAAUCUCGCGCGAGGACAUAAAUCACCGCGCAGUAAUUUGCCCCCAAAAGCCAAAAGCCGUGACUCAAAAUUGGUGCCACAGGUGAUGCGUCUUGUAUUACAUUGUCUUAUUUACAUUGUGUUGUACUAUUUUGCGGCUGCAUUGAUUUCAGGUAGCAGUAAUGUGUCCAGAGCAAACCUCAUCCCUGAGGAACAACAAAGUAAAUGUACUGGAUCUCCAAAGAACUCCAAGGCAACACAAAUUAGAAACAGAAAACCUAUUUGGGAGCGCAGCUUACUGGCACAUUUCAGGAGAAUUGCCUCCAUCAGGAGGCUGCCGUCUCUCUCCUCUGAGGGUUUUUCUUUUUUUUUUUCAUUUCACUGUCCUAAUUUGUCCCAUGUGGAUUAUCAUCCGUUCCCUCCUGGCUGCUGUGACGCUCUCCAAAAUGACAGAUGUGGAGAGCUCAGGCCCAGUUUGUUUCUCUCGAACACACACGCAAACACAACACAGUCAUUUCCCAUCAUUCCUGAGGAUAUGUUGACUUGCCCAGUUUGAACCUCCAACAGAAACAUGACCCCGUCUUAAACUGCGUCUUUUUCCAAACAUUUAACAACACCCUUAACACUCUCCCCUCACCUUCAGAACUGGAAUCAAAUUACAUCGAAUCAACGUAACUGUGAGUCAUAUAAAGUACAAUAACAAAUGAGUAUGUGAAUAAAAAUUGCAGUAGGUAUGACAUGUAUUUUACAGCCUGGCUCUAGCAGAAGCUUUCUAAAGUUACAAUAUUUUCAAUUAUUCAAACAAACACAGAAAACUUUCACAGAAGUUGCGAGAAAAAGUUUAAGACUGGCAGAUACUCAGCCAAGAAAGGAAAAACUGAAUCAUGGGCCACCCAACAGAUCCGAGCUGUAAAUGAAAUGAAAUUUAUUCACAGGUCAGCUUGAGUAUUAUACAGCCAAUAUACACAAAUCAUUAGUAUCAUGUUAGAAAUGUACAUACAUGAAAAUACAGGGCGCUGUUCUGUGCAAUGGUUUAUAAACAGGGAUGUAACCAUCAGAAAAUAUCAGAAUAUGAUACGAUUUUUGUCAGGAUAUUAAACAAAAGACGAAAGAAGGCUUAAAGAGGGAUCCUGAAGUCCAUCGAUCAGUGUAUUGUGAGAUACCUAAUGUUCAACUGAAGCUCUUUGUCUCCCUGUAGAGUUGUUUUUGACCACAGAAAUUGCACACAGGUCUGUGGCUAUGUAUUUAGCGUUUUAGCUUUUGAUCUCAUGAGUUCUUGCACUACUAUUUGGUGAUGAGGCUUGUUAGAGCCUGAUAUGUAACAUUGACCUAAAGUGUUAUUUAAAUCUUUUUUUAAUAAAACACAAAAUGUAAUAAUUGGUCAAUAACGUAUCAAAAUGCUGAGCCCAAAAUGAAGCAACUUGUUAGAUUUUGGGUCAGUCAUUACAUUUUGGGUUUUAUUAGGCUACCUUUUUUAUUACAACAUUUCAGGUCAUUGUUACACAUAAGGCUCUAACAAAUGUGAUUGAUUUUUCGAAAUGAAUAUUUACCUGAUGAACUCUCAUAUUACUCGUACUUUUAGCUAUGUAGGUCACCUCAGUAUAGCAGUGUCCACAAUUUUCUCUCAUUUUGUCACCUCUUGUCAUUUUUUGUCAUUUCUUGUGGGGUGACCAUAUGUCCUCUCUUACCCUGACAUGUCCUCUAUUUUAGGGACUGUCCGGCCUUGUCCAGGGGAGUUUGUAAAAUCCUUAAAAAUGUCCGGGGUUUUGUAUGGAAGUUUUGAGUUUGUGUAGCGGGACCAAUUGAGUUAGAAGUGCGUGAAAAACACUCGACAAAGAGCUGAAUAACCCUCAAAAUUGUGCACGCAACUGUCCUCUUUUUGGGGAUUCAGAAUAUGGUCACCCUGUUUCUUGUAAUGUUGGAAAAAUGAGCCACAAGCCUGUUCUAGCUGUGCUGAUCUAAAUCAGUGAUGGCAAUAUGUAAAUGCCGCAUGUGUUACAAUAGUGUCAUUAGCCCCCUUCUCCCAAGGCUACACUGUGACUGAACCACAACUACACUUUUUGCCUUAAAGACCUAACACAGGUUUCCGACGGCACCAAGGAAGUUUUGUUUUCACGAAAUUGGGAAAUCACGAAACUGACAAUACGUAUACUUCCUGUGUAAUUUGCUGUUUUUCUGAAUCACCAGCUGAAACUAUGACAUUGAAAAAAAACAGGAAAGGGACGAGGAGUUGGUAAAAAUCCUGGUAAGACGUAGAGGUUCCUGCAUGCCAAGUGGCGAAACUGUGAGCUGGAGUGACUGCCCAAGUAGGCAAUGGACUAAAUUAGAGAAAGCAAUCAAGAUUACAUUAUUCUUAAAUUCUGCUUAGUCAAAAUUGCUGCUUUUACCAAGUAUAUUUCAUAUGGAGGUAGAUGAUUUAAGACAAUUUGUAGUUAAUCAUUCUCAUUCCACCCAUCGAUGUCUCACAGGGUGAAGCUUUAUCAUGUCACGGUCAUGUAUUUUACGCCAAUAAGACACAAUAACCUGGAAAAUACACCAAAUGUGCAAUUGGCAUAGCUUCCCCAAAAAUCCGACAAAUCCUCCAAAAUGAAACGCUCAUCUUCCAAAGACGUGCAUUUUUGUUUUCAAAGGGAGGCAAGUCUGGGAAAUGUGACAGAUUUAUGUCCUCACAACAUGAGUAAUAAACACCGAUGGACAAACGCAUGCAAACACACAAACAGUGAGAGACUCUCUGCUUAAAAACACAAAGUAUGAACAAAUAUUAACUCAUCAAACAGAUUCUUACUUAAACAAAUGAAGUCAAUAAAGACAGACUUUAGUUUUUGAACACACACACUCAAACACACACAUGCACACACAUACACACACAACUCAGUGUGCCGAUGAUUAUACCCGCCUACUGAAGUGUGAUUAGUUAUACGGCCUGUUUUUGGACAAAAUGGCAGUAGGUGGUGACACAACAUGACACAUAGCCAGUAGAGCAGGAUCAUUAAUUAUAGUCAUUACACCUAUCGCCCCCAAAACACACAUUAACACACAAGCAUGUGCACAAACACACACACACGGUGACUGUGUGGCUGCCCCCUGCCUGACAGUCCAAUCCUGCAGCAGAGGUAAAUGACCGUGCACCUGUUGACACAGCUGGACUCGCACAGUGUGAGUGAAACACUGACUCGGCUCUGUAAAAGUUUCUCUGUGCAUGACAUUUCUGUGUUUUUUUCCUGAGUGUCUUGUGCUGGUGGCGCAUUAACUUUGCAUGACGCAGCAGGCAUCACACAACCUCAUAUUCAUGCCUCACCGCUGAGCUGUGGCUCGUGGCUGGAGCUGUUUCCUUCUGACAAACGUCUUUUAUCAUUAGCUUCAAAACCACAUCGCCUCUCUCUCAAGCUUCGCUGAAAACAAAAAGAAUCUUUUAAAGUCUUAUUCCGCCUGUUUUUUUCUCGCUUCAGCUCCUCAUCUGUCUCUCAUCUCCCCUGCCAACUACGAGUAUUACUGUGAGCCUGCAGACUGAUGUAGUACAGAUUGAAGCGCAGAGGCUGGAUCAUAUCAGAUUCAUGUAAACAAAACAAACAGGCACCAGGCAACAAACAGCAUGCAUGUCUUUGACUCAGAGAGGCUUACAUUGUGCUGACAUUUCAGAUAAUCUAAUCUUAUGUAUGUCUCUUUUACUCCUUUGCAGCAGACCCAAAAUAAAACUUUGUCUCUGAGUAACACGCUCACAGAGCUCCUUCUUUCUUGCUUUUUAUUCUCGCUGUAGAAAAGAAGUUGUUUACAUUUUUAUAAUCUCAAUCAACUGUCGCUAACAACCAGAAAAAUGGGAUAAACUAUGAGAUGUUUCCUCAGCAAGAGCUCGAGCCCAAUCAGUUUUAGUCACAUGCAAGAACUCGUGCCGGUCUUGCACCACACAACUUUUCCUGCUAUUUUCCAAAGUUAGAGUAAAAUCAUGAGAGUUUGUAAUUAGCAUUUUGUUAAAUUAUUUAUCCUUUUCGUCCUCACUUUCUUGACGGAGGGGGAUUUACUUGAUAGAGGCAUUGGCAAGUCAAUGUUUACAAUGCGUAAGAAUUUAUAUUACUUUUGUAAUUUUUUUUAAUCGUUUAAAAUAAAGUCUAUGAUUAAAUUCAUAUUGUUCUAAUAAAAAAUGUGCAGAAACUUAAAAGUUUUAAUUUUCUGUCAGGAUUCCAGUUGUAGUCUUGUAGUCUUGUAGUUAGUGACCCUGUGAGACCACUAGUCUAAGUCUUGAUCUGUGACUGAACUCUUUAGUUAUUUAAAGUCUGCUGGUGUAUGAAAGGGAUUAGAGAUUACACAUAUAUGACAAAUAGGGAUUAGAAAGAACAUGAAUACUUGUUGGUGCAUUAUUAAUCACAGAAAUAUAUUAAUUUAUCCUCAUUGUCAGUUAUUGUGGGGUUAAAAAUAUUUAAGUUUAGACAGAUUCAAGUACAAAAAAAUAAUAAUAGUAAUAUUUGUAAAUGUGGAUGCAGUCUACAAAGCUAACGUUUUUUUUUUAAACUCUACUUUUUUAAAACUCUUGUAAUGGUCUUGAAAAGUUAGAAGUCUAUUUUUUAAGAACCAAAUUAAUUGUUUUCAAUUUGAUCAUACUUAAAACUGAGGACAAAUAAUUAUAAAAGCAAUAUUAUCAUUAUUAUUAUUAUUAUUUUUAGUGCACCACUGUUUUCUGUAAAUGCAAAUUAAUGACCUAUGAGGUUUGAAAAUGCAUAAAAGUGUUGCUGCUAGACUGCUCCAUCUCAGGCUUAUGAAGUGACGUAUAAAACUUAACUUUUAAAAUAUUUUUUAUUAAAAGGGGAUGAAAAAUAUGAUUUAUGCACCUAUUUUUUUUAAUGCUAUCAUGUCAGAACUCAACCUUUCACUUUAGAGGCGAUUCUCUCUUCGGUUGUUUUCUUUCUUAACCUUUGUACCCCUGCCUGUCGGAGUUAAAAAACAUUACAUGCUCAUUUAAAAAUAGAUUCCUGACCCAUUUGAGAGUCCUCCACCUCGUUUGGAUCAUAUCUCAGAAUAGGUUUGGAAACUCGGGAGCAUUUUUUGGCUGCAUUUAAAUAACACUCCAAAAUUAGACGGCCUUCUUGCUUUUAUACAAUACAGCACAAUUUAAAGGAGACCACAUAUUGGUUCAGAACGAUUUAAAGACAUCUUAGACAUAGGUUAGAAAUACACUCUUAUUUUGAUUAAAGGAAGACUGUGAAACCGGACAGCCUUUAAGGGAUACAGGUUUUAAAAUGCACUCUUAAAAGAAAUGCACCUUUUACUCUUACUUCUUUAAAGUGAUUCUUUGCUGUGUACAAAAACUGUGUUGACCACGGUGCGUGAACGUAUCUGAGAUCUGGGAAAUGACGGGCAGAUUAUGGAGCAGAGAAGGAGGUGAGGUGGAGGUUUCAGGUCUGACACACAGUUUGACAAUCAGCAGCCUUCCUGUCUCCGUUCUUCUUCUUCUUUCUAUCAGUCUGUCUGCUGUGUCUCUUCCUCCUGUCUGCGGCCCGUCUGCGUCUUUCUCUCACGCUUGUUUUCCCACACACCUAUUUUUGUGGAUCCUGACACCUCUAAAAAGCACAGGCACUGAUUAAUUCAUGCUUUACAUAAUACCUGCUCUAUUUCCAGUCGGGUUUGAAUCUCACACAAAUGAUGGCUUUUUUUCGAGGCUCUUACUGGAGCCAGGCUGACUCUGAAAAGUCUAUUCGAGGCUUUUUAUGCUGGUAAUAAAUGAGGUUUCUGAAAGUCAAAACAAAUCUGAUCAGAGCAGGUAGAUGUUUCAGCUCUCCUGCUCGUACAGGUAGGCGUCUACAGCUUGUUCACAUCCAGAAAAAUGAUCAGAAAAGGAAAAAAGCCUUUAAAAGUAGAUCAAUUGCUUCAACAUUUAUUCAGCGCCCGCUCUCAAACCCACAUUUUCGUUCAAUCUCUCUCCACAGAGCCGGUCUCACUGCUGGUGCGUGAACCCUCUGAAAGUUAAGCAGAACUUGUUAACGUCACUCCUAUUUUUGUCCCUCAUCCAUCCACAAACUAUAAUACUCCUUCAUUUUGUGAGAGGAAAGUAGCCCCAUUUGUCAGCACCGUCACCGCUGUGUUUUCUCAUUUGUCUGUCAGUGAUUCGGCUCAGUGAGUUAACGGCAAACCUAAUUCCCUGUCGUUCAUUCAUUCGCGGCUCGCUCUCACUCAGGUGUCGAGGACUCGCUAUAGGGGGGUGAUUUAGCGCUCGGAAACUUAACUGCUCAAAGUGGAAACUCAAAGGGGGGAAGGAAAGCCUUUCCCUCGUGGUAUGAUGAAUGAUAAAUGACUGUCAGGGGGCCUCUGAGCCUUCACUUCCCCGCUUACGUAGGGGGGAGAGACACGCGACUAAAUCCUUCCACUGAUCUUUCUCUGUCUCGCUUUCUCGCUCCUUUUUCGAUUUCUUUCCUUCAGCCUGAAACAGUAAAGCCACUGUCUGCACAUACACUCCUGAUCUUCGUAAACUCAAGCUUUUCUUUUUUCCCCUUCAUUGGGUUUUUUUUCUCUUCAGGCCAACACAUCACUUUGAUGGAUUGUUAGAAAAUAGUGGUGACCGCACACGGCAAUUUCAGGCCAAUUUAGGCCAUCUUAAAUUUACAUCAGUUUUAGUGUGACAGAGACUGACUCCGCUCUGCGAGGCACUUAAAGCAACAUUUGACUUUAGUGGAACUUUUGUAAGUUUUGGAAGGAACAUGUUGGAGUGUUUUUUUGACGAGUCUUUUGCUGUUUUUACUGAUUGAAUAUCAGGAUUUACUUUGUUGCUCUUCAGUUUGCAAUUAGAUCGGUGAGGAAGAUGAGGAUCGCGUUAAAUUCGUACACAUGAUGUCAACAGAGGCCUAGACAAAGAGUGAAAACGAACCCUGAAAUUUGUCACAGAUAUAAAUAUAAAACAUCUUAAAAUAAAAACUGAAAAAUCAAAAACCAUUUUUAACUUUAUUUCUCUCAUUUAGCCUCAGUCUAGAUUUCCAGCUUUAAUCCCUGUUUUAUUUUUCUUACCUGGAUUACAUCAAGAUUGAUUUUUGAAAGUUUGGAUUUCUCCCCGACUGAGUUUGUCUGGCGUGACGGAGGAGUCCUGCGCCACGUCCUGACAGUGUGAUAUUGUCUGGAGGGCGAGAUGAUUGAUCUCUAUUUCUCAUGCUUCGGCGGUUGAGAGCCGUCUCGCUGGCGUACGUCAAUAUGAAAGCCUUUGUGGUUACCAAAGCAAUCCUUGCAGAUAAGUUUGUGAUGCCUGGACGCCUAAAUCAAAUCUGAUCACUUGCGAAUAAACUUUGUGGACGCUCCGUCAUAAAUACUGCCAGUCACAAACGUCUUUUAAGUCCGGGCUACAUCAUCUCCUUUCUUCUUAUAAGCAUAUGUCUCCCUCCUCCAGUUUUCCCCAUGGAUCACUGUAGUAACUAACAAAUAACUGUUGCAUUUCCAUGUUCGUGUCAUCAGAAUGCACUUGGUUUAAAGCUGUCAGGAUAUGAGGUUUAACCCAACACUAAUUAGGAUAACAAUAUUAUCCUUAUGAUUAAAGAAAUAUCAAUGAAACAGCUGUUACCUAGGGUGACCAUAUUCUAAAUUCCCAAAAAGAGGACACGUCUACACGGGGGCGGAGUCACGGAGUCGCAGGAAGUUAAUCUUAAGAGUUUUUCGGGUCGGAUCAAGUGUCUUUUACACGCUUCUAACUCAGUAAGUCCACAGGGCCCCAAAUAUGUAACUUAUGUACCAAACCAUGAACAUUUGAAGGAUUUUAUAAACUUCCUUGAACAAAGCCGGACAAGCCCGGACAGCCCCCCAAAAAGAGGACAUGUCCGGGUAAAAGAGGACGUUUGGUCACCAUUUGUUACCAGUCAAAUCAGGGCAAUGAACGCAACAGGCUUAUCUUACAUCUCAUUAUUUUAAAAUGUCUUAAGGUAACAUUCGUGUUUCCAGGUUAAUUUUUUCUCGCUCAUCAAAACUUAUAUUUUAGCUUAAACUCACCGUCGUCUUCUGUGUGUAAUUAUGUAUCACACACUUACCACAGACGACCUGAUUAUCUUGUUAGAUCGAGCUGCGGCUGUAACCACUCUGGGUUGAAGACUAGCUACCUUGCUGGUUACUGAGUCUUUCUCGUCGGCGUUUCCAUUCCUUCGCUCUGUUUUUUGGUGGAAUCAACCAACUUCAACAACCGCUCCUGUUGCACAGUAUUAUCCUACAUUUAUAGCAGAAUAUCAAUAUUCAGUAGUUUUUAAAGACGGUUAUGAUCAAUGUUGGUCUGUUGUAAAUCCGUGCACACAGAAUCACACAUGCCCCCUUUUUUGUUGACCUGGCAUCUGUAGGGCUCAGUACAUUUCCAGUCAGCUUAGUGGUCUUGGCAGACCAUGAAGGAUGAGUCCUUUUUAAAACCAACCUUGAGUCGGGACUGCAUGUGGUAUUUUAAUUUUAGUCUUCUGCCUCCUACAGUACACAAAUGAAUGUUUUAUUUUGACUGAUCUAACGUUAAAAUGAUUCAUUUGAAAUAAAACUUUAUCUCUGACCUUCAUUUCCGAACCUUUAAACUGAUGAUUGUUUCUCUCGUUCUUUAACUUUGUGGCUUUUUCUCAAGCGCAGUUCUUCUUCACCACAAGCAUGUUUGGUGAAGGGUCAGAGGUCACCGAGCAGCUCAUGUUGAGUAUGUAUGACGACCUAAGUGUAAUACAAUCUCGCUCUGUUCGGUUUGAUGCUCUUUAACAGUGGCUAAUUAUCUAUUUGAGUUCUCGUCACCUUCUCCGCUUCCCGUUUAUAUCAUUCUUUGUCCUUGGCUGAUUUUGAUCUCCAGCCAUAACUGCUGUAGGAAGAUAAGGCCAGACAUCUCAUCCCCUGGUUUUUAAUUCCCCUUCGUGUUUGACAAAGAAAGACAACACCCUACGAUGUAGAUUCGACCCGGCGAGUGCGACAAGAGCGCCUGAUUAAAUCUCCACUUGUCCUCUCUGCUGUCAACAAGCGCCAUUCGCAUCGUGUGCUGUGAUCCGGCUCAUGCAAAGCUAUAACGGAAGAGAGCCACAAGCUGUGUUCAAAGGAACAUACCUCCAUCUUGGAUAUCAAACAUUUGGCAGCAGACCCAGUGUGAGUAACCCAAUGAGCAAUCCCACUGCAAGGAUAAAAGCUGACCCCACUAGUAGCAUCCUAAUCUCUAAAAAAAGCCGGUUAUCUUGAGCUGCUUCAAGGAACACACAGAUGGAUGUUAUUUCAAGAUUCACCACAUCUUUUGUACGUCCCGCUGAUUUUUCCUCUUAGUAAGAAAUGUAAGCUCUGAUCGUUUUUCUUCCUGUGUUUUUGAAGCUGGUUGCGCCUGAUGUGAUCGUCCUAAUGUCGAAGGUUCAAUCACAAGGUGGUUGUUUCCUAUGGAAACGGUUGAAGGACAUCUGAGAGCUCUUGUUGCCAUGAGAGGCUCUCACCUCUGUGGUAUGAGCACUGUGACGGUUGAUUUUUUUUGUCCUAUAUAACAUUUGUUAACAAACACAUGCAGUCAAAAGAAAACCGGGCCUUCAUAGUCAGAUUGUUUUCCAACAAAAGGAAGUUGUAGCUUAACAACCUCAGCUUUGAUUCAUGUGAGCCGCCACUUUUUUCAGCGUAGUUCACCACCUUCAGGGACGUUUGUAAAAAUUGGUUGAAAAUUUUUAAUAAAAUCUUCAUGGUUAACGUGGAUUCUGUUGUGAAAGGAGUAUUACCGGUGAUAUAAAAGCAAAUUCAGUGGUCUGUGUCAUUCGUACCAAGAUCUUUGAGCUGUCUUUGCCACCAACUUUAGGAGUUACAGUAUCUUAACAAUAGACGGCCUACAAAAGAAACCUCCCUGCAUUGACAUUUCUACAUGACGAUAAAGCGAUUGAGUGCUGAUAUUUCCAACCUAACUCAGCAUUGAAAGCUAAUAAUGUCAUGCUAAGAACUGAGUGGUACUGUGAGCUUUGGAUUGAACAGAAACAAACUGGUUAGUAACGUGUGCAAAGAGGAGGUCAUUGCUGUUGAUCGAUGUCUUAUCACUUUGCCAUUCAUCAGGCGUUAUAAAUAACCCACCAGUCACUGUUGUCAGAGCAUUUCACAGAGAUGUGCACGAACACAAAUAUCUAUCUAUCUGUCUGUCUGUCUGUCUGUCUGUCUGUCUGUCUGUCUGUCUGUCUGUCUGUCUAUGAGCGCUUCAGCUGACUGAAUGAAAAAAUGAAAAUAAGUUGCCUUUUUUCCAUACAUCAUUAAAAACAUGAGCUCUCGUCAUUUCUGGUAGAAUAUAAGCGCCCAACUCAAGCCCAGAUGAAAAGGUAACAUAUGCAGUAUUCAUACUGCACCUCUUUGUGUAGUUUCUCUGAUUAAACAUAUUGAUUUUAACUGUGAAUUAUUGAAGCUCCUAUGAAGAACUGUCAGUAUGUAUUGAUAUUGGCACCCCCUGUGGGUGAAGUGGUAUCUCUUAUCUCAUUGCUGAUUGGUCCUCUUUGUGCAAAAGUAACAUUUUUAACAAAAAACCCCUCCCUGCUGUGGUCCAUCACUGAAAUGUAUCACUCAUUUGAAUAUAAAAAUUGAUUUAAAUGUAAAAAAUGGCGAUAACAUGGAGUGUAUUUAUUUUUUUCAUUGACUCGUACCCACACCUGUGGUUUUAGAGGUUGCAAAUAACUAUAUAAGAGUACUCAGUUUUAAGAAGGAGGCAUGGGUAUCGACUUCAGUGUGUUUUGUAACCUGCAAAAAAAAAAAUAGACCUUCAUAUUUUUAUCAUUAUUUAACAUCUAAAUUGAAUGUUAGCCGGCAAAUGUUUCACUAUAAACUCUUAUUUCCCCUCCUAAACUCCUCAGUGUUUGUUGUUUCUGUGCCACAGGGACUCCCAGACUUCUGAACAGAGCAGAUAUUAAACUCUUCAGUCUGAGAAUGAAGUUCUUACACAGAUUUUUCUGCCCCUUCUUAUACCGCUGAUCUGGGCCGGCCUCCCUGUGGCUGUUUCCAGCGUUUCCCUCUUGCUAAUGUUUUGUCAUCUGAAGCUGUGAUAUUAUGUGAAUUAGCCUGGGCGGAGAUUGCCUUGUGGUAGUAAUUCAUCACCUGUUUGGCAGAGGUGACUGCAUGAGCGACUGAGCGAGCGGUUACUGGUAUGACGUGCGGAGCGAGCAUCUGGUGCAGGGGGUUAAUUGAGGGCGAUUAAGGUGAUUAAUAGCUUUGUUUGAAGUGAAAACACAAGACAGACUAGCUUGUGUUACAGAGCAAAUAUUUGGGGGGAAAAAUCCAUCAGUGGCAGGAGAGCAGAAUGGCUGCAGAAGGUGGCAGUCAGGUGUGUGAGUGCGUGUUGGAUCUCGGUGUAAUUGCCGUCUGAAAAAAAAUGUAGCGUGCAUUUGUGUGUCGAAGGAAAUGGAAACAUAGAGCUGUAUGUGAUCAUUGAGGGGGAAAACGUAAUAUUGACAAAGAGCUGUCUGGUUAGAAAAAAGCUUCAGCUGAGGAAUGUCAAAUCUGUCGGCUCUUGUUGGUGUUUAGUCUUUUAAGGCAGCCUGAUCAGGAUGGGCUUCAUCCACAGCUUCCUAUUGUCCCAGUAAAGGUCUAGAUUUCAGGGAGCACCACAACUACACCACAACUACACCACAACUUCACCUCAGCUUCACCUCAACAGUCAUCUGGACAAUCUUUUUUGAACCAGGCUGUAAACUUUUUUUUUUGGCUGAGUGUGUAUGUGGUUAGUAGUGUUACUGCAGCCAGCCUCAAGUGGACACUCGAGGAACUGCAGCUGUUAGUGCUCAAGCGUGACCUUCUUUUACUUGUGUUUGUGUUUACUUUAUUUGCAGGUAUCAGCACAACAGAAUAGCACAUAUUCAUAUUCAGCAAAAAUGUAACUUUUGAUUACCUAGCAUAUAAACCAAUGAUAGAAGCACAAAAGAGACAGAAUAAUAUUGAAAUGAGCAGAAAAUCCGCCUCAGGAAGGCAAAACCUGUCGUUCUUCUUCUGGAGGGUUUGUAAGUAAAAAAAGUCAGAGUGGUGCUGCUAUCAAUAAAGCUUUAAAUCAGGUUUUUCUUAGUUAAUUUUGUGCUUUUUUACAGUAAAAAGCAGCAUUUAAUGUGACUUUCUUUUCUCAACACAUACAGACAUGUUGAUCUCAACCUUAAAAAUAGAUAUCUACAACUAGUCCAGCUGGUGUUCUGCUUGAAAUAUAUUCGUAUAAAACACAUUUACUCUUCUGCUCAAAGUGUGUUUUUAACACAAAUGGUCUAAUUUGUAUUAACUGUGUACAUUCAACAGGUUAAAGUUGAAUAAAAUAGAUAAGGGUUGAUUUUUUUGUGUGAAUUUGUAUCACAUUUGAACAAUAUGAAGACAAAUAACACAAAACAAAAUUUCACUUCACUCAGGACUGAAAAUAAAGAAUAUAUUUUGCUGGUUUUAAAAGGAGGUAAUAAAUAAAAUAAAAAAAAGAGGUAUUUAAUGUAAUUGGAUAAGGUCUGUUAUAAAAAAUUCAGACAGUUUAACAUUUAUUUUUCUGUCGGUUUAUCAUCUCUUGUUUGUUUUGGCUGCAGUAAGCAGACAUCCUCAGGGAUUCACCAUGCACUUCUUCUAAUAUAGAGCAGGGCAGAAUUUUAAUAACUUAGAAACUAGAUGAAGAAUCUUAAAAAGCUCAAAGUGUAGCUGACAAAUGAAUGAUUUAUUAUGCAAUUAUUUAGUUUUUGGUUUGUUUAUCAGCGUGGAACAUCCUAUUCUUGCCCCACCUUUCAAUUUCAAUUAAUUGUCAACCUCAGAUUUUGAGAUUUAUGGGAGUACUUCAUCCAUUUUUUGCAUCAAGUACUUCACCUGUGUACUUCUUUGAACUGCCUCUCCAUACACUGAGCCCUAUUUAGCAGAGCUGUGCAUAAAGCGUCAUUUAAUUAGACCCAUGAUUCAUGACAGCGGGCACGUAGAAAGUGGGCAGUGUACUGAGGCGCAGAGAGAUUCAAAUUGGAUCGGUGUAGACUGUAGUUGGGUGCAGUCAUGCAGUCAAGAGUAUAUUGAACAAUCUCUCUUUGCCUCUGUGUCGGCCCAGUCCCCACAUUAUGAAUGUACUGUGGUUUCGUGUGCCCACCACUAAAUCAUACCCAGCUUGAAACCCUGGCCGAGUAUUCAGGAGUAUAACAUCAUGUAAAUAAGAUAAUGACUGUCGCUGAAAGAUGGAGCUGUACAGAGUUUCAUAGUAUCAGUGCCAUAUUUGAGUAUUUGCCUAAAAAUCUACUGGAGUUUGGGAUACAUUAAAGAGUCUAACCAAAAGUAUGUCAUUGUUUGGGCCAUAUUCUAAAAAUUCUCCAAAAGUUUUUCAGAACUUGGGUCAAAAUUAAACAUCCAUCUAAACAUCUCAUUUGCCUAAAAGUCUGCCAGUAUCUUGGCCGUAUUUGAUCAAAGCUCUUCCAGUUUGACAGCCGUAGAUCAGCAUCUAUCUUAGUGUCUUUCAAUGUUGGGCCAUAUGUGAGCAUUUCCCUCCAAAAUUUUGUACUAUUGAGGUAAUAUAGGAGCAUCCACCUAAAAAAAUCCACCAUUUUGUUGUGUAUGUAUUGGCCGAUACCAAUAUUGAUUCGAUAUUAGCACAAACUUGUGCAUGACAAGUUUUGCACUCAGCUGCAACAUCUUUUUCAGAAUUGAACGAAAAAUACUGCCACGUGGCUGACAUCGAUCCUACUUCUUGCUACUUUGUUUGUACCUUUGUACACACUGUUGUUGUGAUCACGUGGGCUCUGCAUGCUGGAUAGAAGUGCUGCUUUUAUCAGAGUGAUUUUGUCAGAGAUUUUAGAUGCGUCAUCAUCGUUGUUUUCUUACGCCUAUCCUGGUCCGGGUCGCGGGGCAGCAGCUUCAGGAGGGAAGCCCAGACGGCCCUCACCUCAGCCACUUCCAUCAGCUCCUUGGGGGGAAUUCCCAGGCGCUCCCAGGCCAGGCGAGAGAUAUAAUACCUCCACCUGGUCCUGGGCUGGCCACAAGGUCUCUUCCCAGUGGGACAUGUCUGGAACACUUCUAACAGGAGGCGUCCGUAAGGCAUCCUAACCAGAUGCCCGAGCCACCUCAGCUGUCUCCUCUUGACGUGGAGGAGCAGCGGUUCUACUCUGAGAGCCUCCCGAGUGUCCGAGCUCCUUAACCUAUCUCUAAGGCUGAGCCCGGCCAACCUGCAGAGGAAACCCAUUUCGGCCGCUUGUAUCCGCGAUCUUGUUCUUCCGGUCAUUACCCAAAGUUCAUGACCAUAGGUGAGGGUCAGCACGUAGAUCGACCAGUAAAUGGAGAGUCUCGCCUUACGGCUCAGCUCUUUCUUCACCACGACUGAUCGGUUAAGCGUCACUGCUGACGCCGCUCCGAUCCGCCUGUUGAUCCCCCUCUGUAUCCUACCCUCACUCGUGAACAAGAUCCCGAGAUACUUGAACUCCUCCCCUUAAGGCAGGAGUGUAAAGGCCAUGGUCAAGAAUCUGUUUUAAUUGUUGUAGUAUUUCAUCUAUAUCUGAACCUAAAAUUUUCAGUAUUUUGACGAUAUCAGAGUAUUUUUUCCAGUUUUCCAGACACGUGUCAGCAUCCAACCCAAUUAUUUUCUAGUGUCUAGGCCAAACGUUUCACAUAUCUUUGCCAAAUUAGAAGAUUUACCACCAAACGUUUCCAGUAUUUGGCCCAUAAUCCAGCAUCUUCCUGAAAAUCUUCUUGUGUUUGGGGUAUCUAUUGAAUUCUCAUCUUAUAUUAUGAAUUCAGUUGUAUGUCAGUGUUGUAUCAGGGUAGUACAUGUUCUGUAAAAAUGUUUUCCCUUGUAGAAAUCUCCCCCACUGUUAGUAAAAAAGAGAUAUAUUUGGCUGACGGGGAUAGAUGGAUUCGUCAAGGUCGUCUGUCAGAAGCAGGACACGUGUCUAAAUCCUGGGAAGUGUUUCAUUUCAAAACAGGAAUCACUUCAUAAGUAUAGCAGGAGUUGAGCAGGCAGACACGGUGACAGCCUCUGCCUCAUCCCCUGUGUAUCCCACCACCAGUCAAAACACCGACCUAAAAUAGACACUUUGUUCCCCAUAAAUGGAUUUAGCAUGUGAUCCACUGAAACCCGAGAUGUAUAAUAACAUCUUUUUACCGACACUAUUUAUACUGCAGAGGCUAUUAGACUAAAUUAUAUGUCAUCCCUGUCUCCCUUCUGUGUUUUUAAUCUCCUAGUUUUGGCACUCGAAUGGUCGAGGGGUUCGCCUGUGAGCAUAAUCUCUCUCGACUAAAAGGGAAAGUUAAAUGCGCCAAAACAUGUUGCUGAUCUUGGCAGGUCGUAUCACACUUAAGGGCUAUAGCGGGCCGCAGCGUUCCUGCUAUCACGCCAUCUCAAGUUGCGCGCACUUUUCCUCGAACACUCACUUUUUAUUCCAGCUGUUAUUCUUAAAGGCCUGUGAACCUGACAUCAAAAUAAGAGUUUUAUAUGUCUUUACACUCUGCCGUCCUCUCUCUUCACAGGCCUCAGAGAUAAUCAAUCACCGGUAAAAAAGGUGCCAAUAUGUUAGCAUACGGGAGGGCUGCAGAUCGGGACACGAGUAACGCCGGGGGAGGAUCAGAUUGCUGGGAGUAAGAAUGAUGUCUCAGGGAUUGUUUAAACUUGGGUUUGCAGAGUUUUCUAUAGGAUAAAAUCUCAACCAAGCUGGGUAAACACCGCUUUAAUGGCCGAGCAGUCAAAGUUGUUUUUGCACUUAUGUUAUUGCUGCCACCCUCGGUCUAUAAAGUUCCUGAACUUGCACAGCAUGUCCCGGUUUUUAAGCUUAUAAAGGUGAGGGCUUUGGGGCCAGUCAUUCAAAUCUGCGAAGGUUAUACUAAAGCUGAGCCAAGCUGAUCACAGCUAGAAGCUUUUUAACAUCUCCAAGGAAAGUGCUGACAUUUAUAACCCGUAUUACAAUGUACUCAUAUUCGGAAAAGAAAUCAUAUCUGAUGAAAGAGAUUACUGCGCUGUUCACCUCUUCUCCUCGCUCUGUUUGCUUUCACGUCAUGAAAGUGUUUCUUUGCAGUAAGAGUAGUGGAGGGAUGGAUCCUGAUAAGACCCAGACAGAGAAUCAAGAAAGCAUAUUAAUGAGAAGAGGCAUGAGCAUGAGCAUUGGCAGCAGAGGUUGAAUCGAGCAGCCUACCUCGGCUCCCGAUGUUACUUUAAGUGUUGUUCAAGCACCCACUCUUUUGUAACACCACUUUGGCCUACUGCGACUGUGCUGGUCCCCUUAUCUCCUGGUAUUUCUGCUUUAGGUGAUGUAGAAGCAGCUGGCCUUUUGUGGCACUUAACCAUUUGAAGUUUGGCUUCUGGAAAUAAUUCUUGUUGCAUAUUCAUAAACAGGAGACUUGUUUAUGACUUAUUUACAAACUGCACUCCCUUUGGUCCCCAAACGUAACUUGAUAAAGUUUUUAGUUAUGAUAUGCAUGGGACUAUUUUAAGCAUUCAAAUACAUAUCUUCCUUUAAAGCUACCGUACAGAGUUUUUUGAUGUUUUGAAAUAGACAGAAAUUCAUUCUGAUGCCUUCUCUUAACAUCCAAAAGCAAACAAGACCAUCAGCGACAAGACUGAAGAAUUACAAUGAAUGAUGUAUUUGACAGCCAAAGGUCAGUAGGAGUAGAUUUUUGUCUCUUUUUUUUGUUUAUUUUUUUGUUGAUGAGACUUUUAUGUCCCCAGGGAGGCGCCAAAAAUCAAAAAUUCUCACAGUUUUCCAAAUUGGGCUGAGUUACGAUGGAAGAUUCAAGGUUCAGGAAAUGAUGAUAAUCAUAGCUCGGCCUUGACUCAACCUCCACACAGACUGGGCUCACACACACGUGCAAAAUUUAAAAGUUAUAUUUACAGUGUCCCUUUAAAGUUGCAUUGUGCAAUUUUGUGUUUUAUGUAGAUCAUAUUCCAAAUAACUCUGAUGAUGGGUUUUAUUUGUGUGUGUGUUGUUGUUGGUUUCCUUAUCCACAUGUAAAUGAAGACACUGGCGAAUUUUAAUGACAAGUGUAUUUUAGCUCAAAACUUAUGAUCUUUGGUAUCUUUUUUAUCUUUAUUACUGUGAUCAUUUUGUUUCCCUAUUUAUUCUGUUUUAGUGCACGGUUGUCACUUUUUGAUUUGUGUGUGGCCGCUCUUUGUCAGAGACUUUGUGGAAUGCACUGCUGUUCUUUCUUCUGUUGAAAAAUAUUUCAAUUUACCAAAGAGAGGCUCAAUUGUGAACCACUGGCUCAGAUAAUGCUGCUGCACUCCCGACCACACUUUCCAUAUUUUACCAAAUUUGACACGGCGAAUUAGAAAAUAUAUACAAAUGUCUGCCAAACGUGGUUGCAUUUGCACAAUGUAUUCUCAAAGUUUUGUUGAAAUUUUACUUUUAAAUAAAACAUUUGGGCAAAACUGCCCACAACAUCAUUUAAAAAGCUUUGCAAAAAAAAGGACUCUGUAAGUUUUAAAGUAACAGUUACAAAAGUUAAAGUUAAGUUACAACACUUAGUUUUUUGUGAUGCAGUAACGUUUGGCCAAAAGCACCAAUUCCUCAAUUUUUAGGGGUGUCCAAGACAAUAAAAGCUCUGAGGUUGAAGUUUCUCAGACUGACAGUUUUCUAAACAGCUGUGAAGGAUGUCAUCAUGAGUUCGAUAUGAUGUUAUGGUUCCCCAAGAUUUGGAGCUCGCUGCGAACCGAUGAAUCAACAUCUCUUCAGUGCGAGGAUGUUUUGUAGACAUCCAGGGAGAAAGAGAGAGGUGAGAGAAAGUGCAGUCUUGUGGUCUGCUUUGGUUUCUAAUAUUGCAGAGGUAGUUCUUCAGCAGCCAAGCGGCACCAUGUGACGGUAACUGGAUCGCAACACAGCUGCAGCCGCGGGCACCGUUGGUCGUCCCCAAGGCUGCUGGAAUAGCGACAGGAUAGCCCCGCACACAAAUACUGUACAUGCACACACCAGUGGAUGGAAAAACCCAAAUAGUACAGGAUGGGAGUAAGUGGGGAGGUGUGGGAGAGAACUCUACCCUGCCUGUUUCAAAGAUGUUUUUAAAGCUGUGAAAUUUUGAGUCCGACCACAGCAGGCUGGGUUUCACACAGGGCUGUCUUUUAAAGCCAGAGAUGGUGUGUUUGUUCUCCUGGUAAAUGAGGGGUGUCGGUGGUCAGACUGGAACCAAACUACACUCAAUUAGGAAUGUCUCUGUCAAAGGGCAGACCAGACGCUUGUUCGCUAUUAAACACUCUUUAUUCGCUGUUACAGCCGUUGCUCUGAAUAUACGCUUUAAACAGAAUAAGUUAAUGUUAGAGGAGUACAUCUGUCAUUAAGCUAGAGAGAUUUAUUAAACCACUAUAUACUUUGUUUAUUAAGACAUUUAAUGGAUCAAUUUUAUUAAGAUUAAGCUAUAAAGGUGGCAAUGAUGCUUGAAAGACUUAUUAAAGUUACGACCAAAAAACAAAGUAAAUCAACAUGUCCGUCAAACCGUUUUUUUACACCCAUACCUGGCUUCUUUAUUUGGAGUUUAAAGCGAAUUAAAACAUUUUCAAAGCAGACAACAAGCUUUGAGUAUUAAACAAUUUAUGCUAGGUCCUGGACGGUGAUUAUCAUGAUCCUUGAAAGCUGCUCGAACCAACAAAGUGGCCAAAUCUUUAGUCGUGACCCUGCCAGAGAUUGCUGGCCAAUGUUCCAGGAGAGUAUUGAGCUGGUUGAACCAUUUGCUGGUCCUCAGCUGGAGCCAUUGUGGUCACUGUGGUCCUUAUCUUUCCUCUUCUCCUUUCUCAGACUUGUUUUGCAGUUUGAUUAAACUCAAGCUCUACCAGUUGAGUCGAUACCUUGGCAAGAAAACUUUGUCAUUGCAGGUCGCUGAUUUUUAUUUACCAUAUCAAUAAAUUGUUGGGCAGUCUGUGGCGUGAUUUCCUUUCUCAUAUCAGCUCAAAAGACAGUGAAAAACAAUCCUGGACAAAUCAGUCACCAGCCUCAUGACAAACUACAAAUCAAACAGAAACCCGGCAUCUUCUUCCGUGUGCUUCUCUGUUAUAUUGUCAACAAGCUCUCCACCUUUCAUAAAAACUCCCAAACUGGUGAGUAGACGUAUUUUUGGUUGCUGGUCAAGUACCUCGUGUUCACUUUCAAACAUGAUUUACGCUACAGUAGAAGGCACACACAAGAACGAAAGCUAGCCGGGUCUUUCAUGCUUCUUCUUCUUCUUUGACUCGCUUUGUUUAAUGGUGGGUGACAAAAGAACCACCACUGCCCCUUACCAUGAACCAGUUAGUCAACCACAAGGCCACUGACACGCUGAUGAAGCUACAAAUUUACCAUGCAGUGUUGACGUUCUCUAAAUAAAAGUGAAUUUCCUUCAAUGCAAGGAAAAUCACUUCUGCACAGUCAAAGAGGCAGGAUUGUGUAGAUGUUAUUCUUCUUGAAAGAGAUAUGUCGUAAGAGCUUCAUGCUUUUGUUCGAGCUGUUGAACAUUUCCUGUUUGUACUGACUUCCUCGUCCUUGACUUCAGAGCAUAGCGCGGCCCACACAAACUCUGUCUGUACAGUGGAGACAGAUUAAACUCAGUUCCCUGAUGAUAAGAUCUAUCGAUCGUGUCUUGUUUGUCUGACUCUGUCCGUCCAUCGCUCAUGGAAGUUAUUUAAGGUGAUACCUCAAACUCUGCUGCUGUGACUGCAGCAGAGAUCGUACAUCUUCAGACCAUAUUCGAGACUGAUUUGAUCUCUUCGGGUCAAAACUCCGAGCACAAACAUCCCUCAGAUGUCAUUGUCAUCAUUUGGAACAAAACCUGAUGGAUGGGUCUUGGCGCUGUUUUCUAGUGUCUGAAUAAAUGACAUCAUCGGCUGGGGGGUCAGUAUGAUUAAAGGCUGGCAUUUCAAACUCUGACAGGCUAUACAACAUGGAGCUCAAUCUGAUCGGAGCUGUAGAGGUGAAAGCACUUUUACGACUGUCUGACUGAAACUACAGUCACGCCUUGUCUACCUUAUUACGCCCAAUCUUUCUUUCACUUUGAGAGGUCAUUAAAUGGCAUCAAAAUGAUUUUGUGCUAAGUGAGGGGAUACUCCACAGCUGUAGCGCAACUCUACACCCGUAUCUGUGAGUCAGGCUUGACACCAGAGAGUGUGCGGGGCUGUUGCAGGGCAGGGUGGGACCGGGGGAAUCCAAAGUUGGCAGACAGAUCAAACGCUCCGCAGUGAACCCUCAUACCAAAUGUUGCAGAUACUUCUCUGGAAUAAAUAGAAGGAAUACUGCAGGGAGUGUAAUGAUGACAUCCAUCAGCAAGCUAAAGAUAGUGCUCUUACAAAUACUAAGUACUGACGAAUGACACAAUGAAUGAAAUCAAGUGUGGUUGUAUUAGACCUGAGGGAGAGCGAAUUAGCUGUUAAUUUCACUGAAUGGAAUUAAGAACAACUUUAAACAGGUUUACUGCUAUUAAAAAAAAACAGGUAUGUUCAUGCCGUCUGCUAAAACUAACCAAAUAUAACUCAGAACAGCAGACCUGCCAACACUCCUGAUUUCAGCAGAUGUUUCCCUCAUUUAAACCCAUUCUCCCACCAUAAUCCUGACUUAUCUUCUCCCAGUUAUCUCUUUUUACACAUGAAUACAAAGGUGUUCCUUAAACCUCUAUGUGGUGACCCAACUAGGCAGCAACUGGCAAGCACAAACCACUCUACCUCAUACCUCUGGCAAUGCUGCGGUGGCGUACGCCUUCCUGAGAAGGCAAUUUCAGUUGCAGUGAUAUUGACAAUUCGUAGUUGAUGUCGUGUACGAUGUAAUCAUUUUCAUAGCGCAGACAUCUUGAGCGGGUAUCGGAUGAACAGGCAAAUUCAUCACAAUGACACAGUUAGCCUGCAUUUUUAUUUCAACUAAGCAAACCACUUCAAGUUCACUGCUUGGAAACCGUGCAGAUUCUGUUGGUUGCAGCAAAAGUGAGAACGCUUGAUGUCUGUCUUGAUGUAGAGUCAUUGACGUCGCCUGUUUCUUUCUGCAGCAGAGUUCUGAAGCCUUUUGGCAGCAGUUGCCAUAUUGGUAAAACCGACUCUGACCAACAUUCGGUCAACCCUCCAAAGGCGGGCUCUUCCUAGCCUCAUCAUAAAUGGCCACAGCCAGUCUUGUGACUUUAUGAACUUUAAAACAAAUGGUUGUAAUUAUGUUUAUUUUUGCUUUUUGGCUUCUUUUGUAGGUGGUUACUGGUGCUUCGGCAGCCAGUCGCAAAUGGGCACGCGGGGAGCUGCAAGUUUGAUUUCUCAAGACUGGAGGCUGCCACUUGCUCAGAUAGUGUGUAUAUACUUCUGUGUAGGUGCAGAGCUACCCAAACCUACGGCAUGUACAAUGCAGUAGAUUCCUCUAGGGCUGGAUGAUUAACCACAUAUUUACUGUUACCG